GACUAAGAAGCACCGGCUAAAUACGUGCCAGCAGCCGCGGUAAUACGUAUGGUGCAAGCGUUAUCCGGAUUUACUGGGUGUAAAGGGAGCGUAGACGGAUAGGCAAGUCUGGAGUGAAAGCCCGGGGCUCAACCCCGGGACUGCUUUGGAAACUGUUUAUCUAGAGUGCUGGAGAGGUAAGUGGAAUUCCUAGUGUAGCGGUGAAAUGCGUAGAUAUUAGGAGGAACACCAGUGGCGAAGGCGGCUUACUGGACAGUA
rnacentral:rRNA from 1 species